UACAGAGGAUGCAAGCGUUAAUCGGAAUUACUGGGCGUAAAGCGCGCGUAGGUGGUUAGUUAAGUUGGAUGUGAGAUCCCCGGGCUCAACCUGGGAACUGCAUUCAAAACUGACUGACUAGAGUAUGGUAGAGGGUGAUGGAAUUUCCUGUAUAGCGGUGAAAUGCGUAGAUAUAGGAAGGAACACCAGUGGCGAAGGCGACCACCUGGACUGACACUGACACUGAGGUGCGAAAGCGUGGGGAGCAAACAGG
rnacentral:rRNA from 1 species